rnacentral:rRNA from 1 species
UACGGGGGGGGCAAGCGUUGUUCGGAAUUACUGGGCGUAAAGGGCUCGUAGGCGGCCAACUAAGUCAGACGUGAAAUCCCUCGGCUUAACCGGGGAACUGCGUCUGAUACUGGAUGGCUUGAGGUUGGGAGAGGGAUGCGGAAUUCCAGGUGUAGCGGUGAAAUGCGUAGAUAUCUGGAGGAACACCGAUGGCGAAGGCAGCCCCCUGGGCUAGCACUGACGCUCAGGCACGAAAGCGUGGGGAGCAAACAGG